rnacentral:rRNA from 1 species
AGUGAACGCUGGCGGUAGGCCUAACACAUGCAAGUCGAACGGCAGCACAGUAAGAGCUUGCUCUUGCGGGUGGCGAGUGGCGGACGGGUGAGGAAUACAUCGGAAUCUACUUUUUCGUGGGGGAUAACGUAGGGAAACUUACGCUAAUACCGCAUACGACCUACGGGUGAAAGCAGGGGAUCUUCGGACCUUGCGCGAUUGAAUGAGCCGAUGUCGGAUUAGCUAGUUGGCGGGGUAAAGGCCCACCAAGGCGACGAUCCGUAGCUGGUCUGAGAGGAUGAUCAGCCACACUGGAACUGAGACACGGUCCAGACUCCUACGGGAGGCAGCAGUGGGGAAUAUUGGACAAUGGGCGCAAGCCUGAUCCAGCCAUACCGCGUGGGUGAAGAAGGCCUUCGGGUUGUAAAGCCCUUUUGUUGGGAAAGAAAAGCAGCAGGUUAAUACCCCGCUGCUCUGACGGUACCCAAAGAAUAAGCACCGGCUAACUUCGUG